GGGUUGUGAGGUUAAGCGACUAAGCGUACACGGUGGAUGCCUUGGCAGUCAGAGGCGAUGAAGGGCGUGCUAAUCUGCGAUAAGCGCCGGUAAGGUGAUAUGAACCGUUAUAACCGGCGAUACCCGAAUGGGGAAACCCAGUGUGACUCGUCACACUAUCAUUAACUGAAUCCAUAGGUUAAUGAGGCGAACCGGGGGAACUGAAACAUCUAAGUACCCCGAGGAAAAGAAAUCAACCGAGAUUCCCCCAGUAGCGGCGAGCGAACGGGGAGGAGCCCAGAGCCUGAAUCAGCAUGUGUGUUAGUGGAAGCGUCUGGAAAGGCGCGCGAUACAGGGUGACAGCCCCGUACACAAAAGCGCAUGUGCUGUGAGCUCGAUGAGUAGGGCGGGACACGUGGUAUCCUGUCUGAAUAUGGGGGGACCAUCCUCCAAGGCUAAAUACUCCUGACUGACCGAUAGUGAACCAGUACCGUGAGGGAAAGGCGAAAAGAACCCCGGCGAGGGGAGUGAAAAAGAACCUGAAACCGUGUACGUACAAGCAGUGGGAGCCCCACCACUAAGCCAGUGGUGAACUCCACAUCCGCAUCCUUUGCUGAGGAUACGGUUAACGGAGCGAAAGCGACGUUCAACCGCAAAACAAGCAGAGGGGGCUUAGUGGUGGGGUGACUGCGUACCUUUUGUAUAAUGGGUCAGCGACUUAUAUUCUGUAGCAAGGUUAACCG
rnacentral:rRNA from 1 species